UUAGAAAAUAUUUAAAGGUAUUGCCUGCCCAAUGUUAUAUUUAUAAAUGGCUGCGGUAUCUUAACUGCACUAAGGUAGCAUAAUUAAUUGUCUUUUAAAUGGUGACUUGUUUGAACGGCCUAAUGAGAAAUUUAUUAUCUUAUAAUUAAAUAAAAAUUAUAUUUUAAGGUCAAAAUACCUAACUUUAAAAGAAAGACGAGAAGACCCUGUUGAGUUUUACAUGUUAUAAAUGUGUUAGAAUGGGAAAUUUGGUUUUUUAUUAAAACCUGAUAGAUCCUGAGUAUAAAAAAUUUUAUACUUGGAAAUAGGACAAAAUUACCACAGGGAUAACAGGACAAUAUUUAUUGAGAGUUCUAAUCGAAAUAAAUGGUUGUUACCUCGAUGUUGAAUCGAAGUACCUUUGUGAUGCAGCAGUCAUAAAAGUGGGUCUGUUCGACCUUUUAAACUUCACGUGAUUUGA
rnacentral:rRNA from 1 species